rnacentral:rRNA from 1 species
GACGAACGCUGGCGGCGUGCUUAACACAUGCAAGUCGAACGCGCCUGUCCUCUGGGUUUCUGGGGGGUGGGUGAGUGGCGAACGGGUGAGUAACACGUGAGUAACCUGCCCCUUCUUCGGGAUAACGGUCUGAAAGGGCUGCUAAUACCGGGUAUUCACUGGUCUCCGCAUGGGGUCUGGUGGAAAGGUUUUUUUCGGGUGGGGGAUGGGCUCGCGGCCUAUCAGCUUGUUGGUGGGGUGAUGGCCCACCAAGGCUUUGACGGGUAGCCGGCCUGAGAGGGUGACCGGUCACAUUGGGACGGAGAUACGGCCCAGGCUCGUACGGGAGGCAGCAGUGGGGAAUAUUGCAGAAUGGGCGCAAGCCUGAUGCAGCGACGCCGCGUGAGGGAUGGAGGCCUUCGGGUUGUGAACCUCUUUCGCACGUGGUCAAGCCGCGACGUGGGUCGUGGUGAGGGUAGUGGGUAAAGAAGCGCCGGCUAACUACGUG